UACGGAGGGUGCAAGCGUUGUCCGGAAUCACUGGGCGUAAAGGGCGCGUAGGCGGCUCGGUAAGUAGGGGGUGAAAUCCUGCGGCUUAACCGCAGGGCUGCCUUCUAAACUGUCGAGCUCGAGCACGGUAGAGGCAGAUGGAAUUCCCGGUGUAGCAGUGGAAUGCGUAGAGAUCGGGAAGAACAUCAGUGGCGAAGGCGGCUCACUGGCCCGGUACUGACGCUGAGGUGCGAAAGCGUGGGGAGCAAACAGG
rnacentral:rRNA from 1 species